rnacentral:rRNA from 1 species
AUUGAACGCUUGCGGCAGGCUUAACACAUGCAAGUCGAGCGGGGGAAGGUAGCUUGCUACCGGACCUAGCGGCGGACGGGUGAGUAAUGCUUAGGAAUCUGCCUAUUAGUGGGGGACAACAUCUCGAAAGGGAUGCUAAUACCGCAUACGUCCUACGGGAGAAAGCAGGGGAUCUUCGGACCUUGCGCUAAUAGAUGAGCCUAAGUCGGGUUAGCUAGUUGGCGGGGUAAAGGCCUACCAAGGCGACGAUCUGUAGCGGGUCUGAGAGGAGGAUCGGCCACACUGGGACUGAGACACGGCCCAGACUCCUACGGGAGGCAGCCGUGGGGAAGAUUGGACAAUGGGGGGAACCCUGAUCCAGCCAUGCCGCGUGUGUGAAGAAGGCCUUAUGGCUGUAAAGCACUUUAAGCGAGGAGGAGGCUACUCUAGUUAAUACCUAGGGAUAGUGGACGUUACUCGCAGAAUAAGCACCGGCUAACUCUGUGCCAGCAGCCGUCGUAA